rnacentral:rRNA from 1 species
GGGAGGGUGAAAGCUCCCGCGGUGAAGGAUGAGCCCGCGGCCUAUCAGCUUGUUGGUGGGGUAAUGGCCCACCAAGGCGACGACGGGUAGCCGGCCUGAGAGGGCGACCGGCCACACUGGGACUGAGACACGGCCCAAACUCCUACGGGAGGCAGCAGUGGGGAAUAUUGCACAAUGGGCGAAAGCCUGAUGCAGCGACGCCGCGUGAGGGAUGACGGCCUUCGGGUUGUAAACCUCUUUCAGCAGGGAAGAAGCGAAAGUGACGGUACCUGCAGAAGAAGCGCCGGCUAACUACGUGCCAGCAGCCGCGGUAAUACGUAGGGCGCAAGCGUUGUCCGGAAUUAUUGGGCGUAAAGAGCUCGUAGGCGGCUUGUCACGUCGGGUGUGAAAGCCCGGGGCUUAACCCCGGGUCUGCAUCCGAUACGGGCAGGCUAGAGUGUGGUAGGGGAGAUCGGAAUUCCUGGUGUAGCGGUGAAAUGCGCAGAUAUCAGGAGGAACACCGGUGGCGAAGGCGGAUCUCUGGGCCAUUACUGACGCUGAGGAGCGAAAGCGUGGGGGAGCGAACAGGAUUAGAUACCCUGGUAGUCCCACGCCGUAAACGUUGGGAACUAGGGUGUUGGCGACAUUCCCACGUUCGUCGGUGCCGCAGCCUAACGCAUUAAGUUCCC